UAUCCCCAGAGCAAGACUGUGCUGUCCUGGAGUAGAUGCAAGAAGGAAGCAUCUCGUACACCGAGUGCGGCAGGUGCAAGUAUUUGAGGCUGUCGGUUGCUCUUCCUGACAUCUGCAGAGUCCAUCGCUGCAAUUCAGAGCCAGGUGUUUGAAAAACCAGGCCGGGCCUUGCUGAGGACGGGCCCCAUGUUUACGCCCAGAGCACCCACUCCGCGCCAAGCCCUGUGUCACAAGAUUCCAUGUGCUCCAGGAGCAACAAAGAGGAGACCCUAGCGGAUGGAUGAGCCAGCACUUUGAAGAGUUGGGUCCCGAUGCCAACAAUAAGAGGCACUAGAAGAUGACUGAGGACACUGGUAGAGGACCUGUUCAGCACCGUCUUACUUGAUGUGUGGCUUCAGUUUGCCCAGAUAUAAAGUGGGGUAAGUACCUCUGCUCUGCCUGCACCCCAAGGUGGUUGUAAGAAUCCAGAAUGUGAAAGUGCUGUGCAAAUUGCCAAUUCUGGGGAACACGGAGAUGACUGCCCACUUCUCUGUCCGGGAUGCUGCCGGAAGUGUGGUCAGUGGUCACAUGGCCUCCAGCUCUCAGCCCCUGUAGCCGGGCUCAGCUGCAGAUAGCCACCUCGCCCGAGGUCGUGCCCUCCCCAGGGCAGCCUGCAGCCAGGGGAUGAGACAGCAGGGGGCACAAAGACCCAGCCAUUUGGGUCCACAAGGGACGCUGUUGGGCGCUGGUUGAGCCUGUACCAUCAGACCUGCAUCGAGGUCUGUCUCUGCCCCCUACCUCCUCCCCCCCUCUUUCCUCUCACGCGUGUUGACCCCUCGUAACACCUUGCACCCCAAACUUCACCCCCAACUGCUUUCGGGGAACCCCGCCUGCAAAAACUAUGUAAGAAGGUUGUCUUGCUAACACCACUAUCCUCAUUACACAGAGAAGGCAGCCCCUGCGGCCCAAACCACCCACCCCUGAAAAAUAGGCCCUUUAACACCGGCUCAGAUUCCCAGAAAUCUGGAAAUACAGUUCAGCUGGGAGGGAGGCUGUCCAAGUUGAGUUUUGUUAGAGUUGCAGGUGAAGCUACAAUGUGGGAUAGAAGGUGUGUGGAGCUACAUACCUAAUACGCACCUCUUUCCAGAAGGCCCUACUCAGGGAGCCUGGGCAGUGAGUGUGCCCCACGGCGAUGGCCAAUCCUCGGUCCCUGGGCAAACCCCCACCUCUGCUGCUGCCAGUAGAGUCUUCACAGCUCGCGGCGAAGUGGGGAAAGUUGGACAGAGCGCUGGAUCUUAGGGGAGAGAUUAUGCUGGUCAUAAUUGUCUGCGGUUAGUAUGACUACACAAUGCUGAGAAUAGAGGGUAGCUUGUUAUCUCUUUCAAUCGCUUCACUUGGCCAAAGUGGCUCCACCCGGAAAUCUAGGUCUGAGGGCCACUGACGGGUCCCAAAUCACUUGAGCGGGCUUCCUGUCCUGCUGGCCGAGAGGUCUGACCGCAGGCAAGGCUCAGCAGCCUGCUGACCUUGGCCUAGCAGACAAGGUGGGCACGUUGGCCGUGGUUGUGUCCAGGACGGCCAAUGGCUUGCCGAUCAUCCUUCUUGGGGCCUCAGCCCCCUCCGAAAAUUGAGCUGCAGGUGGGGUGACCUCAGGUCCCUUCCUGCCUUUAAGGUGCCCACAGUGAGAUCCUUAGAGGAGAAUUCCAGAAGGAGGGGCCAGUAAGGACUGGCAGGCUGUGGGUGCCUGGCCCUCAGCCCCGUGCUUCAGGUCCCGCCAGAGAAGGAAUGAGGGCCAGGUGGGUCAACUGCACCCCCGCGUGAGCGGUGAGCCCCCAUCAUCACUCCUGGACUAAUUGCCACCCCACCCGCCCGCCAGGUGCCCGCCCGUGUGUCCCCAGCUCUGGGGCUGCUAUUAACGACAUGUUGCAGCAGCUUUACGAAGCGUGGCUCGGAACAAUUUUACACCUCAUUUGAUUUAUGUUCCCGGAUUCGCUCCUCUCUCAGAGACUCCCUCCCUCUGGAGAGACAGCAUGUGCCAUCCACUCCGGUUCUCCUGCGUUCCCACAGAGUCAGUCUCUGCGUCAGGAAGGGCCAGCCUCAGACCCUAGGUCCUGAGCAAACAAUCCCGUGACCUGGCUCUUCCUCCAGGGCUUUCUUCCAGAUGUGUGUCCCUGAGCCGGGACACCUGUGACUGAGGCCUUCGGAGGUGGGCUUAGCCACGACAGAAUCCCAGAGCGACGAAAGUCCUUGGGGAUUGGUUACCAGCACACCCGCAUCUUACAGAUGGGGAAACGGAGAGGUGGAAAGAGUCCUCGGUGUCUUCCAGACCCUUCUGAAGGUCACAUGGCCAGUCUGUGGCAGACGCCUGCCUCCCCUCUCAGCAGUAAAGAGGGCUGGUCCUCACAGGGAGUCACCAGGUCAGCUGUGAGCCAGCCUUUCCGCCAGUAGGACCUGCUGGACUGGACUCUUUGUCCAGACAGUGUCCUUGACGUAGGCUGAAGAAAUGGACGCGCAACGGGGCCCUCAUUGCAGAGGGAAGGCAAGGAGGAUGGGAGAGGGAGAGUGAUUCCCUGCAAAGCACACAGCCAGUAGGAUGCAGGCUGGGCUAGAACGCUGGCUUCACGACCCUGGGAUCUUAUCCCCUUCUCCCUAAGAGGCAAGAACGUUCCUACAACCACGUCUUCUCAUUCACUCACUUUUGAACGGAUGCCUCUCAGGAACCAGGCUUGGUGUUAAGCUCAGAGGACGCGAGGAUGGACCAGACAGAGAAGCACCCGGCUGUCCCAGCCCAGUGUAGUGAGGCCGCGAGGGAACGUGUGGGCCCCAGCAGCAGACCCCUCCCUCUGCUCAGCGAACUCCUGCCAUGGGGAAUGUUGCUUGCAGGGGAACCCACUGCCCACCACAGAGGCCGGUAACCCGUAAUCCCAGCCGCCCUUGAGAUAUGUGAACAAGGUUUGACCCGUUAGAUAUACCCGUCCCAGGUUAUACUCAAGCUGGUGACAUGAAGAGAGAGGGGACAAGGAUAUUCUCUGUGGCCACAGGGCUGGGGCAGCUGCACUAAGAUCGAGUGCCCAGAGGCAGAGGUAACACUGGUGACAUGGGUGGUGCGGGCCACAGUGUCCCCGCAGCCAGUUCUGGCUCUUCGUGAGGGUGAUAGUUCCCACUAGCAUGAUACCCCGACCCACCUGGAGGACAGGGGAGGCUCUCCGUAUUCAUCAGAGAUAACUUCUGAUUUCAGAAACUUUCAAAUCUAUACGAAAGCAGAAUAGCACCAAGAACCCCCACGUGUCCAUUGCCAAGCUACGAGAUUCACAAACAUUCACCAUUCUUUUUUUUUUUUUUUUUAAUUUUUUAAAAUGUUUAUUUUUGUGUGA